GACGAACGCUGGCGGCGUGCUUAACACAUGCAAGUCGAACGGAAAGGCCCUGCUUGCAGGGUACUCGAGUGGCGAACGGGUGAGUAACACGUGGGUGAUCUGCCCUGCACUUCGGGAUAAGCCUGGGAAACUGGGUCUAAUACCGGAUAGGAGCCAUUUUUAGUGUGAUGGUUGGAAAGUUUUUUCGGUGUAGGAUGAGCUCGCGGCCUAUCAGCUUGUUGGUGGGGUAAUGGCCUACCAAGGCGGCGACGGGUAGCCGGCCUGAGAGGGUGGACGGCCACAUUGGGACUGAGAUACGGCCCAGACUCCUACGGGAGGCAGCGGUGGGGAAUAUUGCACAAUGGGCGCAAGCCUGAUGCAGCGACGCCGCGUGGGGGAUGACGGCCUUCGGGUUGUAAACUCCUUUCGCCAGGGACGAAGCUUUUUGUGACGGUACCUAGAUAAGAAGCACCGGCUAACUACGUG
rnacentral:rRNA from 1 species